rnacentral:rRNA from 1 species
GAACGCUGGCGGCGUGCCUAACACAUGCAAGUCGAACGAGAAAUUCCGAUUCGUCGGAAGAGUAGAGUGGCGAACGGGUGAGUAUCGCGUGGGUAAUCUGCCCUUGAAUUCGGGAUAACUUCGCGAAAGCGGAGCUAAUACCGAAUAAGACUCGUUGUGCGUAAGCAAGACGAGUAAAAGAUAGGCCUCUACAUGUAAGCUGUCGUUCGAGGAUGAGCCCGCGUACCAUUAGCUUGUUGGUAGGGUAAGGGCCUACCAAGGCUACGAUGGUUAGCUGGUCUGAGAGGAUGAUCAGCCACACUGGAACUGAGACACGGUCCAGACUCCUACGGGAGGCAGCAGUGGGGAUUUUGCGCAAUGGGGAAACCCUGACGCAGCGACGCCGUGUGAGUGAUGAAGGCUUUCGGGUCGUAAAGCUCUGUCAGGUGGGAAGAAAUAUCCCGAUAUGAAUAGUAUCGGGGUUUGACGGUACCACCAAAGGAAGCACCGGCUAACUCCGUG